rnacentral:lncRNA from 1 species
AUAACCAUCCAAAUCCAUAAAAGUAACUACCUUGUAUCUUGUGAAAUAAGAAACAAAAAUUAGCAUCCAAACAUAAACUUAUAGUUGAUCUAAAAAUAGUGCUUACAUACACAGUUAUCAAUAAGACCUACACCAAAAAAAUAUACCCAAUAUAUAAUAUUCAAAAUAGAUCCACAAUGCCUGCAACAAGUUAGCUGCAUUCCACUUUGAAAGUCAGGCA